CAUGCUGUCAGUUGCAGCAGAAGAAGAGAAGCUCCCAUCAGAUCACCUUCAAUAGCAACCAUGUUCUCUGUAGCUCUGCUGCUGCUGCUGGCUGCUGGAUCCUGUGUGAAGUGUGAACAGUUGACCCAGCCAGCCUCUGUGACUGUGCAGCCAGGUCAACGUCUGACCAUCACCUGUCAGGUCUCUUAUUCUGUUAGUGGCUACUACACAGCUUGGAUCAGACAGCCUGCAGGGAAAGGACUGGAGUGGAUUGUAAGUGGACGUGUUGGCUCCACAACAUACUACAAAGAUUCACUGAAGAACAAGUUCAGUAUCAGCUUGGACUCUUCCAGCAACACAAUGACUCUAAAUGGACAGAAUGUGCAGCCUGAAGACACUGCUGUGUAUUACUGUCCCAGAGAGCCACAGUAACACAAACCAUCAGUAGACCUGAACAAAAACCCCUCAGAGCCUGAACACUUGUAACAUGAAGCCACCAGAGGAGGAGCCCUCAGACCACUAAUGGUUUCAACACCAGCUCA